GGGCAAGAAGCGCCCUCCCACUGCACUGCCACGGGUGGCUUCAGCUGCAGGAAGCCGCGGCAACGGCGCUGGGGGAUAAACUUUUCUGUCACCUCUAAGAGAUUACACUCUCCAAGCAAUUUUAGUCCACAAAGAUCAUAAGAAACUCAGAAGCAUUGGAAGUGUUCAAGUCUUCACAAUGGGGGAAGUAAGAGGCUAUCUGAAAACAUAAGGGGACAAGUAAGCCUGGCUGUGGCUCAGAUCUGCUCUGUGGAAAUUCUUCUGUCUGCUGACUGUGCGCCUAAGGGCUCAGCUGUGAACUUGCCUCUGGUUUUCAUUUUUCUUCUGACUAAAGUGCAUCUUACCUGAGCACAACAGCUCUAAAGAAAAUUCAGUGUUUGAAAACAUCCAGU